rnacentral:rRNA from 1 species
UACGAAGGGGGCUAGCGUUGUUCGGAAUUACUGGGCGUAAAGGGCGCGUAGGCGGUACUUCAAGUCAGGCGUGAAAGCCCCGGGCUCAACCUGGGAACCGCGCUUGAGACUGGAGAACUAGAGUUCGGGAGAGGAUGGUGGAAUUCCCAGUGUAGAGGUGAAAUUCGUAGAUAUUGGGGAAGAACACCGAUGGCGAAGGCAGCCAUCUGGACCGACACUGACGCUGAGGCGCGAAAGUGUGGGGAUCAAACAGG